rnacentral:lncRNA from 1 species
AGAGCCGCGCACCAAGCCGAUGGCGGUGGACGCAGCAGGGCCCCGCGGUCUGAGUGCGGGCAGGCGCGCGUGGGCGUGUCUCCCUGGCCCACGCGUGUCCCCGGCAUCAGUGUCUCGGCUCUGGUCCAGGACGAAGACUUCUGAAAGCGAGCCAAGGAGAAUCACAGUUCUUAACGGAGCCCCUGACUGCCCGGUGGAAGGAGGUGAUUUAGAAGACAGUGAGACUCAGCUACUGUUCCCAUCGAGAUGCAAAGGACACAGAGCUCACGGGUGCUCCAGCAAUGCUGGUGUCAUGUUUGGAGCCUCCCAAUAGAACAUUUCUUCCUGAGCCAACCUAUCAGUGCAGCUCUGGAAGCAAAUGACCUCUCCUGGCAGAGCCUUCACUGUGUGGGGAACAUCAGAUUUGUGUAAAGAAGCACAGGAUGUUUCUUGGCUUCAAACCAUUUGGAUAAGUGAUGGCAGCAAGCUUCGCCACUGUAAAGUCACCUCUUUGUAAGAAGACAGGAGCUCUUUGUAAAGAAUAUGAGACCUGAGGCUGGGGGAUGGCUGAGAAGGGAAAAGCACCUCUGCACAAGCGUGAGAAAAGGAGUUUGUUCUUCCACAUCCAUGUAGAAAUCUUGAUGCCGUGCCGUGAACCCCAGCUCUCCUACGGGAAGAUGGGAGGCGUAGACAGGAGUUCAUCUGGAAGCUUGAGGCCAGCCACCCAGAUCCUCAGAGCUGCAGACAAAAGAGAGGCCCUGCAGCAAAAGAGUGGAAGGUGAGAACCAACUCCGGAAAGUUGCCCUCUGACCUUUACAAGUGUAUACAUCCACACACAUACAAUAAAAUCAAUUGCUCAAUCACGUA